AGUUGCAAACAAGUGUGCCCCACAGGGUAACUGUGGUUCACCUGCCCCUCCCCACAGGUCCUGUGCCGUGCAGAACUCUGCCAAGGUUUUCUGUCUCGUUAAACCAAGUGGUGUGACGAGUGUGAAGGAUUUUCCCAUGGCAGAGGUGUGUAAUGUGAAGUAAAAGCCUAGAGUUCAAGCCCUGAAGACCUUGCUUUCCCGAUGUUGUCAGUGUGCUGUAGAACUUGAUGGGCUGAAAACACAGCGGCUGCCAUGAGGGUGGGCCUAUUCCAGAAGCUGGGCACAUGGGAAACGUCACCUGUCAAACAACUGCCUGGAAUGAGAUCUGCAACUGUUAGUUGGCUCUUGCCGUAAUUGAUGGACACUGCCAGUUGCUUAGACAGAUGGGAAUUAAUGCUGGUGUUCCCAUUAGAAGUUGCCAUCACAAUCGCGUUGGCGUUACUCUCCUGCGCAGAGUUGAUGUGUGUAAGCCGGUGUGUUUGGAAGGAGCAAGCACAGCUCAUACCUGCAGUCCUUCCUUCCAAUGUAUUGGAGCCGCCGAUCCAACGCAGAGCAGAUGAACUGCUUGCCAGCUUACAGAACACUUCGCAAUGGUAAGGAAAAUGCUUCAUUCCUUGACGUUCAGAGGAGCGUGGUUCAGCGAGCUGGACUGUCAUCCCCGGAGGCAUCUGUGAGCUGUAUUCAGAGGUAGGCUGAUAGAACACACAGCAGCUCAGCAGGUGU
rnacentral:lncRNA from 1 species